UAGGCGGAUGCUUGUUGGUUAAAGCACUUAGCUGUUAACUAAGAUUUUGUAGGAUCGAGGCCUGCCCGUCUAG
rnacentral:tRNA from 1 species